CCUACGGGAGGCUGCAGUGGGGAAUAUUGGACAAUGGGCGAAAGCCUGAUCCAGCCAUGCCGCGUGUGUGAAGAAGGCCUUCGGGUUGUAAAGCACUUUCAGUGGGGAAGAAAGCCUUGGGGCUAAUACCCUCGAGGAAGGACAUCACCCACAGAAGAAGCACCGGCUAACUCCGUGCCAGCAGCCGCGGUAAUACGGAGGGUGCGAGCGUUAAUCGGAAUUACUGGGCGUAAAGCGCGCGUAGGCGGUCUGAUAAGCUGGUUGUGAAAGCCCCGGGCUCAACCUGGGAACGGCAUCCGGAACUGUCAGGCUAGAGUGCAGGAGAGGAAGGUAGAAUUCCCGGUGUAGCGGUGAAAUGCGUAGAGAUCGGGAGGAAUACCAGUGGCGAAGGCGGCCUUCUGGACUGACACUGACGCUGAGGUGCGAAAGCGUGGGUAGCAAACAGGAUUAGAUACCCGUGUAGUC
rnacentral:rRNA from 1 species